rnacentral:rRNA from 1 species
UAGGGAAUCUUCCGCAAUGGACGCAAGUCUGACGGAGCAACGCCGCGUGAGUGAAGAAGGAUUUCGGUUCGUAAAACUCUGUUGUUAGAGAAGAACAGCGCAUAGAGUAACUGUUAUGCGUGUGACGGUAUCUAACCAGAAAGCCACGGCUAACUACGUGCCAGCAGCCGCGGUAAUACGUAGGUGGCAAGCGUUGUCCGGAUUUAUUGGGCGUAAAGCGAGCGCAGGCGGUCAAUUAAGUCUGAUGUGAAAGCCCCCGGCUCAACCGGGGAGGGUCAUUGGAAACUGGUUGACUUGAGUGCAGAAGAGGAGAGUGGAAUUCCAUGUGUAGCGGUGAAAUGCGUAGAUAUAUGGAGGAACACCAGUGGCGAAGGCGACUCUCUGGUCUGUAACUGACGCUGAGGUUCGAAAGCGUGGGUAGCAAAUAGG